ACAUCCAGAGGGCCCAAAGCAAGAGCUUGUUCUGCAGGUAGAGCCAGAACCAGAGGUGCAUACAGCCUUCCCCAGGACAAUGCUGGCCAGAGAGCUGCUGCCACAGAGUAUGACCUCCCAUUAGCUGUUAAGGGAAUUUUCCCUACAGGAAGACCACUGGAUUCACUUCUUGAUUUUCACCAAAACUGCCAGUUGUGAAAAUAUUCUGCCACUAUCAUUUAAGUGGAUACAUCCAAUAGCUGGACUUUGUUCUUUCUGCUCCAACACUACUUAUCAAGAAUGUUAGACUUCACAGAGCUAAUUUGAAAUAGCCAGAUCAUCUUAUCUCCUGUGAUUUCCUCAGGCUGUUCAAUCUUAGCUUCAGAAAUCUCCCACUUUCUUAGCUCCUAUCCUGGUGUGAAUAGCUAACUAUUCUGUAUAGCCAUGAAAAGCUUUGGGAGAAAUCAGACUUCUGGAAUAUGGGCUGUACAAGUUUACUCCAGAAGUAACAGAUCCCCUCUAACAAGAAGUGAUGGUAAGCAAGAUAUGGGCAAAUAGGUAUUCCCAAAACCAAGAGGUACCUACAGUAGAGCAUCUUUUGACAGGAUGUGGAGAAGGUUAAGGCAGUAAAUGUAUACAUGAGAAUACAUACAUAUCCUCAGCUUCAUACUAUUCUCUUGCUGCUUAGCAGAUCUUUGGUUAUGAAUAUGACAUGCCUGUGUGAUAAUCUUCAGUUCACAGUACUUGCAACACAUUUGCAGGGAUUAGAAUAUGCAUUGUCUAUAUUAGGCAAACACAUUCAGCCCAGCAGCCUAUUGGACCCCUAUUCAGACAGAAAAUGGACCACCACAGUUAGGAGCAACAAGCCCAUGCUCUCGUGCUUUCUCCACAGAACAGAUGAAAAAUUAUUUCAUUGGUUUUUGCAUGCAACCAGCUGAAACCAGUGCUUAACCAUAGAAACUGCCUCAAUGAUGGGCUGAGGUAGACUCAUCAGUGUUAGCAGCAUGGCUAUGGGGCAAAAGGAAUCCACUGUGAUAUCCUAAGAUGGUAGUCUUUUGCUUCUGUAAAUGCUUCAGAGACAGCUGUAUUACUUCUCCAGAAUGAACUCAAACAGGGCUGUGAAUGCAUCCUUCUGCAUGCUGAAGAGCCCAGUAUAGGUUACAAAAGCAAAAUAGCAGAGUAAUCCUUGCAAAGACUGUUCAGAAGCAUCAUGAUGCCCUGGGCACUUUUCAGCCAUUCAGAUUUACUUGUCAGUAUUGAAGUUUACUUUUAAUGCCAACCAGGACAUGGUAAAUUUUGAGAGGAUGUAAAUUUUGAGACAUGUUUUAGACUGCAUCAAUGCUGCUGUUGCUUUCCACCUGUCUUCAGUAGAGAAAGUCAGUAGCAGGGAUCUGCAGUGUGACAUACUGACUUGAACUAGUUAUACAGGCAUAUACAUAUAUACCAUGCAUAACUAGUUACCAAUACCAAACUGGUAUUGGUAACUGCAGGAUUAGGUAUUUCUUUUUUUUUUUAACCACAUAAUCACCAGGGUUGGAAGGGACACCUGGGUAUCAUCUAGUCCAACCCCUCUGCCAAGGCAGGGUCACCUAAAGCAGGUUACACAGGAACACAUCCAGGUGGGUUUUGAAUGUCUUCAGAGAGGGAGAUUCUGUGAUUACCCCAGGAAGCCUGUUUCAGUGUUCUGCCAUCCCCAACAUAAAGAAGUUCUUCCUCAUGUUGAGCUGGAACUUCUUGUGUUUCAGUUUAUGGACACUGUUCUUUGCCCUGUUGCCAGGGUCAUGAAAAAAAGUGAUGGUGAUGAGCUCCAGAAUGAUCUGCUCCAGGGAUGGAGAAUUUUACAAUGAAAGAUGGCACUCUUAAAUGCUGUAUCCUCCAUCGAUUCACCUUUCUUCAAUAUAUCAAUUGUUUCUGGAAACAGGCUGCUGGUAUGGCUAUGGGUAUACACAGACAUUUAUGGAAUCAG